rnacentral:lncRNA from 1 species
UCAGAUAUGGGAUAGAGACAUUCCAAGGGGCAUCUUAAUCUCAGAAUCAAAUGCCCACCCCUACACUGUGCACUUCUAUGAUUUUGUGCCUUUACACGUACUAUUCCUUCUACCUGAAAAUAUCCUAUUUAUCUUCUAUUUUUUUAAAUAUUUAUUUAUUUGAAAGGCAGUGUGGAUGGAGAAGAAGGUUUGGAGAAAGAUGACACACUCUGUCCAUGCCAUGACCUGGAAUUAUGUAAAUCACUUCCAUGCAAGGCCAUUGCCGGGAGCUUAAUCACAUGCCACACUUAGCUACAGGAGAGGCUGAGAUAGUAGCAUCUUACUGAUAUCCAAAUCAGGGAAUAUUAAGAGGGGGAGAAUCGAUGUUGGAAAGCAACUAGCAGUCUUGCCAUAGAAGAAAGGGCUGCUUGCUUCAAAAUAUGACAUUCAAAAACAUGAACAUUCACUUCAUUCAUAGAAGUAAACCAGCAGAUGGGGGAAAAAAAGGUAAGAAAGAAAAAGCUGGCACAUUUGGAACAAAAUAGCUGCUGAGUGGGAAACAGAAGAGAGCACGAGAGAAGGCAGAGGACUGUGCCCUCCUCCACUGGUGUUAUCACUAGCUGCCCUUGGCUGGAUGGGGUCCAUUCCUCCACCAGAACAGCCUUUCCUUCCUCAGCAAGGCCUCCUUCAAAUUUACGUAGGCCUUACAACAGGAUUCACGCUUAGUAUGCAGAAUAUAGAAAAAUACUGAGUUCAUUAUGCCUAACAACAACAACAACAAAGACAGACACAAAGAGGUACAUUCAGUAUCACUCUAUUUACAAGAAGCUCCUGAACUGGCAGAAUCACCUUUACUGACAGAAAGCAGCUCAGAAGUUGCCUGGGCUUGGAGGGGAGGGGGCUGACAAAGCACAGGCAUGUGGAAUCGUUGUUGUUGUUCUUCUCAUUGUGAUAAAAUACACAUGACAGAAAAUUUGCCAUCUGAAUCAUUUCUAAGUGUACAGUGAAGUGGUAUUAAGUACAUACCCGCUGUGAAACCAUCACUACCAUCCAAGCCUAGAACCUAUUCAUCCUCCCAAGUUGAAAUUCAGCACCCACGGCACAGUAACUUCCCAUCACCUCUAUCCCUAGCCCCUGGCAACCACUAUUCUACUUGCUGUGUUCAUGAAUUUACUACUCUAGGUAUCUUGCAUAAGAAUCAUACAGUAUUUGUCCUUUUGUAAC